UACGUAGGGUGCGAGCGUUAAUCGGAAUUACUGGGCGUAAAGUGUGCGCAGGCGGCGUUGCAAGUCGAGUGUGAAAUCCCCGAGCUUAACUUGGGAAUUGCGCUCGAAACUACGAUGCUAGAGUGUGGCAGAGGAAGGUGGAAUUCCACGUGUAGCGGUGAAAUGCGUAGAGAUGUGGAGGAACACCGAGGGCGAAGGCAGCCUUCUGGGCCAACACUGACGCUCAUGCACGAAAGCGUGGGGAGCGAACAGG
rnacentral:rRNA from 1 species